rnacentral:lncRNA from 1 species
CAAAUGUACGUUCAGUCACUUGAUCAGUCUUGAAAGCCCAGAAUUUCUAGUGCAGGGGUAGCUUCCAAGGUGGAAUCUGGAAAAUGAGGCUUCACGGUGCAACGAUAAAACUUGUUGAACCCUGCCAUCCUUACCAGCUUUCAGCAAUGGGUAUUUUUCGCAUUUCCACCUCUUCAUCCAUGUUUUAUGUGAACGGUGGAUGUCUUGAUUGGACUGUUAGUUUUUCUCUACCAUAAAUGCAGAAUUUUAAUUUAUUUAUUAAUUUUAUUUCAAUAACAAUAAUUAUUAUUUAAUAUAAAAAUCAAGAAUCUACUCCAACAAAAUUAUAUAUCAAAAUACACAUACCUCAAAGCGAUUCAACUACCUCACCUCUAAAAGGAUUUAAAUUAUCGAUCAAGAUAUAGGAAUCAAAAUCUCCUACCUUGAAUGAAUGACCUUUUCACUACCCCUUCUAUAAAUUUAUGCCAUGUGUACUCUCAUUAUUAAUGAUAUUAAGACUUGUUUGGUUUCAAAACUCAUUCUUUCUCAUUUAUUAAUUUUCUUCCUGACUUUCUCAAAAAAUGAUUUUCUCCCCCAAAACAUUACUGUUGAUACAUGAUGUUAUUGAAGUAUUUGGGCUUUGUCUUUUCUUUGUUUUCUUCUCUCUUUUAGUGAACUCAUAGCAAAGAAAAGAAUUAUCAACGAGGUCUAUUUCAUUACAAUAUUUACUAAUCAGUCCUUUCAUCAUACCAUAUUUCUUUUAGGCUUUAUGGAUAACUAAUUUAUACUGUCAUAUCCAACCCAUGUAAUAUCAAUUCAUGAUUUUCAUUUUUGUUGGACUUUAUAAAAUAUUUUUCUUCAAAAUAGCAAUAUAUAAUAUUAAUAUAAAUAAUAUAAUUCUAAAACACUUUUUAGAAAACACAUCGAUCGAAUUUCCUAAGUCUAACAAUCUUAUGGAAAUUGCUUGAAUGUCUUUCUCAAUAGAGAAUGACGAAUCCUUUGUAUAGUAUCCAAUAUAAUUUAUUUAGCAUAUACAUAACCCAACGUAUCAGGGUAUAAUCUUUAAAUUCAACAUCAUCAAUCAGUAAAAUUAAAGUCAUAUUGAUUUAAAAUAAAUUAUAUUGACCUCUCAAGUUUAAAGACAAUUAAUAAAUUGUAAUGGAGUUUCUUUUAAUUAUUGACAGUGACAAGCUUAUAUGGUGCUCUUUAAUUAGAUCUUAUUCAAUGUUUGUACCUUACAUAGUACACCCACUUAUUUGCUUUAAGGUCACUAUCCCAGUGAUAGAGUUGAAACAUUUUAUCUUUUUGAUAGAGACAUAACAAGCGUAGGCUUUGAAUAGUUUAUCACAUUUAGCAAAGAACAACUUUGAUAAACAAGGAAUUGAAGAACUAUGAUUCCCCACUUAAUAUUUCAUUAACUAUUAGCAUAGUUUUUCUACAAUGUUACCAAAUAAUUUAUGAUCAUAUCAUAUAUGUCAUAAAUAAAUAAAAUGUUACUUAUAAUAUAUAUGAAAUCAAUAAUUGAUAUUGCAAUUUAUUUAUCUAAUAAAUAAAUAAUAAAAAUUGAUUUUUAAAGGUAUCUCUAACACAAGUCUAAAGGUUGAACAAUGUUAAUGUGUAUCAAAGCACUUGCAACUUGAAACAAGAUCCACAUCACAACUAGAGAACCAUCUUUAGUCUAGCGAAAAAUUAUGAAAUAGAGUAAGUCUUACUUUACACAAACCUAUGCCGGGUGUUUACCUUUUGAGGUUGAUACAAAGUAAUUUCAUAAUUUUUUUUCUAGACAUUUCAUGAACUAAUCACUAAUAUUUACGAUCGAAAGAUAUUACAGAAUCGAGUAAUAACAACUCUUCACGGCACAAAAACCUUUGACUUGGCAAUACAUGGAGAUAUUUUUUCUGGGAAGGGAGAGAGUUUCUUGCUCAAGUAAUUUUUAGAUCACUAUGGUGAAUUGUUGUUGUGUUAUUUUGGUGGAACACCCAAGCAUAUUUACAAUGUUUUAAAGAUAACUUUAUAACUUUUAUCAAGAUAAUAUCAAGAUAACCACUUGUUAAAUACUUCUCAUAUUAAAUAAUCUUGAUCACUUGAAUUUAUUACCAAGAUAAUAGUUUUAUCCAAAUAGGAUAUUCAUCAUGGGUGUUAUCCCAAAAGCCCAACAUCUCCAACUCAUAAAUGAUGGGAAGCCAUCUACCACUCUUUUAAACCAUCCCAAUGCCAAGUUCAUAUUGGUUAAUGAACUAUGUGACCAUUAAGUGCACUAGAAUUUCGAAGUUCUAUAAUAGAUACUCGUUAGAGCUAGCAUAGAGACAUCGACCCUUAGGAACUUAAAACCUUAAGGAAUAAAGGAACAUAAUAAAUGGAAGAAAAUAUGUAAGGAAAUAUAUCACCUAACAAGGAAGGGUUAAAGGAAAAAAAUACACAUCCAUUUAUAGUGGUUGGGUUAGCCUAAACCUACAUCCAUAACCUUUAUCAAGGAUUUGUAUCUCAAUUCUUCACUAAACGAGUGCAAUUAACAAUUUCCACCAAAUACUAACAAGGCACGCUAUCCCAAGCUCAAAAUUAAAGUUUACAAACCCAAUGAAUGGUUCCAACACCAAGAUUUGACACCAACAAGUGAUCACAAUAAUUAAAGCUAUCAGUUAUAAAUGUGUCAGUAGAUCACAAUUAUAAAUGUGUCACUUGAUCACAAACUAAUCAAAAUUCAUCCUUUAGAACACACAAAUUCUCACUCUUAAAUAUAAUAGUUAAGCACAAAUAGAAAAAAUGAACUAGAGAUAGGUUCUUCAGUCUUUCAACCUAAUUCUUUCUAAAUUGGUCUCUUUAGAUUGUUAAAAGUCCUUUUUUUCAACUCUUUACUGGAUAUAUUAGAUUUAAAAAAUCAAUCAUUUAAGCCAAAAUUUUCAUUCGAGGUGUCAAAAUUUGCAACAAAUUACAAAUUCACAUGAGCUAUGAACCUAUUUGACAUCCUAGGUUAAUAGCUUCAAAUUCUUCAUUAGUUCAGCUAAUUGGUUAAAACCUUGAACUUCAUUCUCAAUGUUGAUCACAUCACAAAGAUUCUUUGAUCUGUUGAAGUUGUCCUUUAGAAGCUUCCAUAAACCUUUAUAUGACUUUAAAAACAUUCAAUCACUUAAUCUUGUUUCCUUAAUCGGCUAAGUCAAUUCUUCAAAUUUCAUGAUCCUCUCUAAAGCGAUUUAAUCGCUUAGACAUGAGCUCUUAGUCGAUUGACCUUUUUAUAUGCUAACUUCCAUUUAAUAGCUUUAAGGCAUUAACUGAUUAACUCUCCGCUGUGAAACACACUAUUACAAUUUAAGGAUAGCUAUGUAAUUUAACUUGUUAAGAUCUAGUUUAAAAUGUUUUUGUGAGACCUCAACCCCUAUAAGCUCAUAACGAGGCAUAGGCGUAACAACUUGGGCUAAGGGUAGUUUCAUCAUUUCCUCUAAAUAAGUUCCUAAAAGGAAGUUUUCUGAUAUUUAAGAUCUAAAUAAGCAUAAAGACCAAAUAAAUGAUGUAUAAUGAUGAAAACAUGUAGAAAACUAGAUAUGGCAAUAAUUUUCACAAUAGGGGUAAAAUGGUCAUUUUGCAUCCUGAGUCAAAAUUUUUAAGUUUUCGUAAACCCGAGUAUAUUUAGACCAUUGUGGACUUGGCCUCAGUGUCAAAAGAGUAAAAAAAUUUCAUAGAGGAUUGGAGAAGAACAAGCUAACUUGCUAAGGGCAUUUUCGUAAUUUAAAAGGGAAUUGGAUAAGUUUGAGCUAUAAAUAUCUUCUCCUUCCAGUAGCUUCUUUAAUUUCCAGUAGCUUCUUCUUCUUCCUCCUUCUAUCUCACGUUUGUUUCCCCCUCCAUUGAAAGCAUGGUAUGAAAACUUCAUAACUUUCUCUCUCUAGCUCCAAAUUUCAUGCUUUCGCCCACCCUUUCAUACGAUUUUUCAUGCUCUUCCACUUUUACACCUUAAAACCCUCAAAAAGUCUUUGUUCAGCACUUUCUCUCACUAGUUGAAAGUUUUAGAGAGAGAAAGAGAGACUUGUCAUAGUAGCUUGGAAGCUAUUGGAAGAGAAUUCAACUACAAAGAAACCCUAAGGUGAGUGAUGAACUAGGCUUGGUUUUAAGUUGUUGAUAAUGGCUAGUAAUUGAGAUUAUGAGUUGUUUUAUUGUUGAGUUGUUUGCUCAUUUUUAGUGCGAUUAGAGUAGUGCAAACAAUAGCCAUUUAAUGGUGGUUGGAAACUAGUUAGGAAUGACUAGUAGAACCUAAUUUAGAAAAUAGUUUUGGAAUGGUAUUAAUGCCAAUUUGGGUUUGUUGUGAUGUUGUGUGUGUAUAGGUUCCAACAAGGCCUCACAUGUCCAUUUGGAGCAUUAGUUGAGGUUAGAGUCAAGCAAAAGAAUCAACAAGACCAGUGAGUAAACUUGCAUUUCAAAGUAUUUUUGGGAAUGUGAAUGUGUUUGCACAAGACAUUAAAUGAUUUUAUCAAACUUUUCUUAAGAAUGGGUGCCUUGGGAACAAGCCCUUAAUAAAUUAUCUUUGUGUUGUGAUAUGUGGCUAUUAUGGAUUCAUAUACUGCUACAUUUUGUUGAUAUAUAUAUAUAUAUACAUAUGAAUAUAUUGUUGUGUAACGAUGAUGACCCGGCUAUGUGCGAGUAGGAGUGUGCAUAAGCCGUGCUGACCCAGCCAUGUGCUAGUGGAGAGUGCAUGUGAGCUGAUGAUGAUGGGAGGGUGUGCAUGAUGAUGGGUAUAUAUAUAUAUACAUAUACAUAUAUAGAUAUGUGUGUUAUAGAAAGUUCAUGAGUAUGGUAUAUGGUCUUGUACAUGUGAAUCAUGCAUGUUGAACUUUGGAAAUUUUUGAGUACUUCAUGUUGAAAUUGGCAUGAUGAAUCUUGAGAAUGUCCCAUUUUCUUGCAAAUUGGGUUUAUUGCAACACCAAAUGGAUUUUUAGUGCAAAGGAGGUCCUUUUUCACUUAGGUGCCCUACUUCUCGCUGCAGCGAGAAACAUUUUGUUUUGGUAGCCAGAAACUCGCUGCAGCGAAAAUAAAUCUCGCUGCAGCGAGAAACUCUCGGGUUCUAAUGCAGUACCUUCACUUUGAUGAAGAAUUUGACCACAUUCCUGUCCGAAAUGGGAAAAGUAGUAAACAUCAAAGUUGUUUCCCUGCCUAUUAUCUUUCUAAUGGUCUAAAAAUCACGUCAAUUGGACUUCUGUAGCGAAAGAUAUGCUAGAAAAAAUAAAACACAUGCAAACUAGUACUGUUUCUCGCUGCAGUGAGAAUGAACUUCGCUGUAGCGAGAAACAUUCUAUCCUACAUGCUACCCUAUUCGGUUUUUGACAUAUUUUUCACCCAUUUAACUUCAUGGAUUGAUCAUGGGUUGUUGCAACACAAUGAGGUUAUUAAUCAAAGUUUGAAAUUAGGGAUUUUUAGUAAGAAAUUAAAUCAAUUGCAUUGUUUUUUGAAACAAGUGCAUCAUGAUUUCCAAAUUCUUCCUAUUGAUUGCUUGUUCCCUUCUUAUGUUCACUCACUGAGUUUUAUACUCACAUUUUUAAAAUUCAUGUUUUCAAAUUUGGAGGCAGUUGGGACCUAGAUUGAGUUGCACACAUAUGCGCGUUUUCUUGGUAGGUACUAUGGCAUCUCAGUAGCUGCAUCUUCACUGUGGUCACUCCACUGGAAGUCAAG